rnacentral:ribozyme from 1 species
GUGUGCGUGUGGACGUGAAAGAGACCAAGAAGACCAAGAACAAAAUAUCAUGGGGGAGACAAGGGGUGGAUUUUUGGAUUUUUCCUUCCCAACAUAUGUAUUAUAUAUAUAUAUAUAGAUAUAUAUGUAUAUAU